rnacentral:rRNA from 1 species
GACGAACGCUGGCGGCGUGCCUAAUACAUGCAAGUAGAACGCUGAAGAGAGGAGCUUGCUCUUCUUGGAAGAGUUGCGAACGGGUGAGUAACGCGUAGGUAACCUGCCUUGUAGCGGGGGAUAACUAUUGGAAACGAUAGCUAAUACCGCAUAACAAUGGGUGACCCAUGUCAUUCAUUUGAAAGGGGCAACUGCUCCACUACAAGAUGGACCUGCGUUGUAUUAGCUAGUAGGUGAGGUAACGGCUCACCUAGGCGACGAUACAUAGCCGACCUGAGAGGGUGAUCGGCCACACUGGGACUGAGACACGGCCCAGACUCCUACGGGAGGCAGCAGUAGGGAAUCUUCGGCAAUGGGGGCAACCCUGACCGAGCAACGCCGCGUGAGUGAAGAAGGUUUUCGGAUCGUAAAGCUCUGUUGUAAGUCAAGAACGAGUGUGAGAGUGGAAAGUUCACACUGUGACGGUAGCUUACCAGAAAGGGACGGCUAACUACGUGCCAGCAGCCGCGGUAAUACGUAGGUCCCGAGCGUUGUCCGGAUUUAUUGGGCGUAAAGCGAGCGCAGGCGGUUUGAUAAGUCUGAAGUUAAAGGCUGUGGCUCAACCAUAGUUCGCUUUGGAAACUGUCAAACUUGAGUGCAGAAGGGGAGAGUGGAAUUCCAUGUGUAGCGGUGAAAUGCGUAGAUAUAUGGAGGAACACCGGUGGCGAAAGCGGCUCUCUGGUCUGUAACUGACGCUGAGAAGCGAAAGCAUGGGGGAGCGAACAGG